rnacentral:rRNA from 1 species
UACGUAGGGUGCGAGCGUUGUCCGGAUUUAUUGGGCGUAAAGAGCUCGUAGGCGGCUCGUCGCGUCGACCGUGAAAACCCGCGGCUUAACUGCGGGAUUGCGGUUGAUACGGGCGGGCUAGAGUUCGGUAGGGGAGACUGGAAUUCCUGGUGUAGCGGUGAAAUGCGCAGAUAUCAGGAGGAACACCGGUGGCGAAGGCGGGUCUCUGGGCAGUAACUGACGCUGAGGAGCGAAAGCGUGGGGAGCGAACAGG